CACGUAGGGUGCGAGCGUUGUCCGGAAUUAUUGGGCGUAAAGAGCUCGUAGGCGGUGUGUCGCGUCGGCCGUGAAAACCUGCAGCUUAACUGUGGGCGUGCGGUCGAUACGGGCAUCACUGGAGUUCGGCAGGGGAGACUGGAAUUCCUGGUGUAGCGGUGAAAUGCGCAGAUAUCAGGAGGAACACCGGUGGCGAAGGCGGGUCUCUGGGCCGAUACUGACGCUGAGGAGCGAAAGCAUGGGGAGCGAACAGG
rnacentral:rRNA from 1 species